rnacentral:rRNA from 1 species
CCUACGGGUGGCAGCAGUGAGGAAUAUUGGUCAAUGGACGCAAGUCUGAACCAGCCAUGCCGCGUGCAGGAAGACGGCUCUAUGAGUUGUAAACUUCUUUUGUACGAGGGUAAAUCCCGGUACGUGUAUCGGUUUGAAAGUAUCUUACGAAUAAGGAUCGGCUAACUCCGUGCCAGCAGCCGCGGUAAUACGGAGGAUUCAAGCGUUAUCCGGAUUUAUUGGGUUUAAAGGGUGCGUAGGCGGUUGGAUAAGUUAGAGGUGAAAUCCCGGGGCUCAACCGCGGCAGUGCCGGUGAGACUGGCAGGCUAGAGUUUAGUAGAGGUAUGCGGAAUGCAUGGUGUAGCGGUGAAAUGCAUAGAGAUCACACAGAACACCGAUUGCGAAGGCAGCUUACC